rnacentral:rRNA from 1 species
GUGUGUUGGGUCGCCGUCCCCCUGUCUGGGGGGACGGGCCCGAAAGGCAGCGGCGGCACCGCGUCCGAUCCUCGAGCGUAUGGGGCUUUGUCACAUGCUCUGUAGGAUUGGCCGGCGCCUGCCGACAACUCCAACCUUUUUUUCCAGGUUGACCUCGGAUCAGGUAGGGAUACCCGCUGAACUUAAGCAUAUCAAUAAGCGGAGGAAAAGAAACCAACCGGGAUUGCCUCAGUAACGGCGAGUGAAGCGGCAAGAGCUCAAAUUUGAAAGCUGGCUCCUUUCUAAAGCUAAAUACUGGCCGGAGACCGAUAGCGCACAAGUAGAGUGAUCGAAAGAUGAAAAGCACUUUGAAAAGAGAGUUAAACAGCACGUGAAAUUGUUGAAAGGGAAGCGCUUGCAACCAGACUCGCCCAACCUCCCACCCGUGUCUAUUGUACCUGUUGCUUCGGCGGGCCCGCCGCUUGUCGGCCAUUGUACCUGUUGCUUCGGCGGGCCCGCCGCUUGUCGGCCGCCGGGGGGGCAUCUCUGCCCCAUGAUCCC